CUGGAGUUCAGGCGUAUGCUGUUGCUGUUCGUAAACAUCUUGAGAGAAACAAAGGAUAAAGAUGCCAAAUUUCGUCUGAUUCUGAAUGAGAGCAGAAUUCACAGGCUGGCUCGUUACUACAAGACCAAGAGAGUACUCCCACCCAACUGGAAGUACAAAUCAUCCACUGCCUCUGCUCUGGUCGCG